UACGGAGGGGUGCGAGCGUUGUCCGGAAUCACUGGGCGUAAAGGGCGCGUAGGCGGCCUGGUAAGUAGGGGGUGAAAUCCUGCGGCUUAACCGCAGGGCUGCCUUCUAAACUGUCAGGCUCGAGCACGGUAGAGGCAGAUGGAAUUCCCGGUGUAGCGGUGGAAUGCGUAGAGAUCGGGAAGAACAUCAGUGGCGAAGGCGGUCUGCUGGGCCGUUGUUGACGCUGAGGCGCGACAGCGUGGGGAGCAAACAGG
rnacentral:rRNA from 1 species